rnacentral:rRNA from 1 species
GACGAACGCUGGCGGCACGCUUAACACAUGCAAGUCGAACGAAACAAGAUAAGCUUGCUUUUCUGAUCUAUUGGAGGACGGGUGAGUAACACAUGAGCGAUCUGCCUUUCAGAGGGGGAUACCGAUUGGAAACGAUCGUUAAUACCGCGUAACAUAAUUGAACCGCAUGAUUUGAUUAUCACAUAUUUAUCGCUGAAAGAUGACCUCGGCGUCUGAUUAGACUAGUUGGCUAGAGUAACGGCUUACCGGGGCGACGAUCACUAGCCGGACUGACAGGUUGAUCGGCCACAUUGGGACUGACACACGGGCCACACUCCUACGGGAGGCAGCAGUGGGGAAUAUUGCACAAUGGAGGAAACUCUGAUGCACCGAUGCCGCGUGAGGGAAGAAGGUUUUAGGAUUGAAAACCUCUGUUUUCAGGGAAGAAAAAAGACGGUACCUGAGGAGGAAGCUCCGGCUAACUACGUGCCAGCAGCCGCGGUAAUACGUAGGGAGCGAGCGUUGUCCGGAAUUACUGGGUGUAAAGGGAGCGUAGGCGGGAUCGCAAGUCAGAUGUGAAAACUAUGGGCUUAACCCAUAAACUGCAUUUGAAACUGUGGUUCUUGAGUGCAGUAGAGGUAAGCGGAAUUCCUAGUGUAGCGGUGAAAUGCGUAGAUAUUAGGAGGAACAUCAGUGGCGAAGGCGGCUUACUGGGCUGUAACUGACGCUGAGGCUCGAAAGCGUGGGGAGCAAACAGGAUUAGAUACCCUGGUAGUCCACGCCGUAAACGAUGAUUAGUAGGUGUGGGGGGUCUGACCCCUUCCGUGCCGCAGCAAACACAAUAAGUAAUCCACCUGGGGAGUGCGACCGCAAGACUGAAACUCAAAGGAAUUGACGGGGGCCCGCACAAGCACUGGAGUAUUUGGUUUAAUUAGAAGCAACGCGAAGAACCUUUCCAGGUCUUGCCAUCGUAUUCAUAGCUCAGAGAUGAGUGUAAUCUGUUCUGAGACAUAUAGACAGGUGGUGCAUGUUAGUUGUCAUCUCGUGUCGUGAGAUGUUGGGUUAAGUCCCGCACCGAGCGCAACCCUUAUUGUUAGUUGAUACGCAAGAGCACUCUAGCAGGACUGCCGUGGACAAAACGGAGGAAGGUGGGGAUGACGUCAAAUCAUCAUGCCCCUUAUGACUUGGGCCUCACACGUACUACAAUGGCGGUCACCAGAGGGAGGCAAAGACGCGUGGUGGAGCGAACCCCUAAAAACAGUCUUAGUUCGGAUUGUAGGCUGCAACCCGCCUACAUGAAGUCGGAAUUGCUAGUAAUCGCAGAUCAGCAUGUUGCGGUGAAUAAGUUCCCGGGCCUUGCAC